CCAUUUUACUCUGUCAUUAACCUCGGUAAAUAGUGGAUCCUCUACACGAUUAUAACCGCUUAUCUAAUAUAAUUAUAGUGGUUUUGACAAAAAAAAAAAUAUAAUAUUCAUAUUUAUAGGUGUACGUGCAUCUUUAACUGAUUGGUUAUCAACUAGAAUAAAGCGGUGAAAAAAUUAUGAAAAUAAAUGGAAAAAAAUAUAUAAUAAAGUUGGAGCAAACUUUUCAUCUUAUUAAAAAUUGAGGUAAGAUUAUUCUACUUCUACUAUUUUCUGACUGUUUAUAGUAAAUAAGGUGGAAUCAUAUUUCACUUGAUUAACUAAAAUUAGAAUAAAUUAGCUGAAAUAAUUUUUCAUCUAGUUUAAUUUACUCUAACUCUACCCUAAAAUCAUACCUAUAGAGUAGUUUUGCAUCUGUGUUAAGUUUCUUUUAAAAUUAUAAGCUAUAACUUAACGUUUUAGAAUAAUUAAUUAAUAUAUAUUUUUAUUCAGAUUCGACCGGUCUAUUUGCACAUGAUAAAAGAUAACAUCGAAGAGUUGUUAAAUAUCAUGUACGCUUACGUAUUUUUAGUUGUACUACCAGAAGUAUAAUUAUAAAAAAUAGUAGGACUGAGGAAUAAUGGUCAUGUAUCAUUUCGCCUAAGGCUAUCUCUAACCUAACGCUACAAUAUCAUUUUAGUGUAAGUUCUACACUAAAUUCUCUCCAACAUAAUUUUUAAAUCACAGUAUUUUAGUGUAAAGUUACACUCCGUAUCAAAUUUGGCGUGUUACUAUUUACCAUAUUAAAUACUAUUUACCUAUUUCUAUCAAUAAAAUAUUAAAUUAAAUAAUUUUUGGUGAUAAAAUAAAUAUAAAUAAUAAAAUCAAUAUAUGAAAUAAAUAUAUGUGAUAUAUUGAAAUAAUUUAUUUUGAUUUAUUAUUUUAAUAUUAUUAAAUUUUAAAAUAGUAAAUAUUUAUUAAACAAAUAUUUGACUGUGAUGUAUUUUUGUGCAAUAUAAUAACAUAAUAAUUUUAUAUAUUAUAUAUAUUAAGUAUUAUCAAAAGUUCUAAUCUUUAUAUAUAAAGUACACUUUAAAUCACUUCUAGAGGGUCCACGUCGGAUGACACGUAAUCAAUUCGGAUGUUCUCGAGCCGACACGUGGCCACUUUAACAAAACGCAGCGAUUUAUUAUUUUAGAUAUAGUAUGGGCUUUCUAUCUUUAUGUGUUUGUCUAAAACUAUUGGGCUUAAGUUUGUACUUUGUUUCAGGCCCUGCAGCCACUUUACGAUGCGCUAACCUUAAUGUUCUUCGCUGCUCUUCUUUCGGCGGCGACGAUGACGAUCAAGCUUCCUCGCCGUUUCAUGUAACGGAUUGCGUUAUGGUUUUUACGUGUUUAAUCCUGUCAAUUGAGGCGUCCACUAUGAGUUCUUCAAUGCGCCGUUUUCGUCGGCGAGAUCUGUGAUAUCAGAUAUAAAUAGUCAGUAUUUCUCCUCUGGAAAUCACGAUCUCUUCCUCUCUCUGUUACAUGUUAUGAUUUUUGCCGAAGUUCUUUAAUUUAUGUUGUUCAUAUUGUUAUUUGCUUUUAUUUUUGCUUUGUUUGGUUAUUAAUUUUUGUCCAACAGGAGGAAUCAUAAAAAUUUGUGUGUUCAUGGAAGAACCGUAUCAAAUUUUUGGUGAUGGCCCAUUCGUGUUUCCAGCAUAACCAAACUAAUGCUCUUUUUGCUCAUACGAAUGAAAGAAAAUUUCAUAUUAUAUCCCUAGGAUAGAUACAGAACAUCAAAUCUGCAAUCUCGGAAAAAAAAUAUGCAAUCUCUGUAGAAGCAAGUUGACGUUAUAACACUGACAAUCAAUGCACGGAAGAGGAUGAACCAAUAUUUGACAUAAACCCGAGGCCUCUGCGUGAGUCAGAGCUUAUUACUUUACAUUAGCUUUCCUUACAAUGAUCUGAACCGGAGCCGGUUGGUAAUGUUAGUUAGUCGGAUCUUAGCGCCUUUUUUGUCAAAUUUGACUGAGAUGGUAACUUUGUAUUUCUUCUUAGACACGUGGAGAACAGUAACCCAACCGCAAUAACCAUCUCCACCAAUGACAAGAACACGUUGGUUUUAACGAUGAGUUAUUGGUAGAUGUUUCAGGUUGCGGUUAUUGGCUUAUAGGUAAAGUUGCUCAGAAAUGACAACAUCUCUUCUGUUUCUCUUGGAAGACAAGUACUUGGAGCUAAAAUUUUGAAAAGACUUUAGCAUUGAAGGUCUGCCUUAAACCAAACGGUUUAACCAAAUACUUGCUGUUGGUUAGUAAGAUAACUGAAGUGCAUGAAGUUGACACUAGAUGCACUAUUUAAAAGGUUUGUUAUUGAUUCUGUCAGAGACAACUGCAAAACAAAAGCAGCCAAGAUAUAGGAAAAUUUGGUCAACAUUGAUAGAUGCAAAGACGAAAUAUAUGAAACUUCUCUUUUAGAUUCGUUCGAUUUCUUUGUGAUAUGUACUAAUUAGGUAGUGUAAUUAAAAAAGGUAGUGUAAUAAAACAUAUUUUUUUGAACAAAUUUGUUAAAGACGAAGACGAUAGUCAUAUAGUGUAAAAAUGUAAAGUAGGUUUUAAAAAAUCCUUCUCAUUUCAUUUUAUCAAUUAAAAAAUAUCUCUUUGAAGAUAUUUAAAGAGAACAAUCAUCUCAGUUCAACAGAACUGAACUAUAUAAGAAUUUUUUUUUGAACAACUUUAGUCUUUUUAUCGGUCAAAAAAAAGAAAACAACUUUAAUUUUCCUCCAAACAAUAUUUAUGCGGUAGAACUUAGAAAGUAAAAAAACCAUAACAACAUAAAAUCUCUACGAUUCAUUCCUACCUUAAAAGACACUUUGAAACAAAACUCAGUAAAUAGUUAUAAAGGAAUUAAAAAUAACAUUCUAUAUAUAAUUAAAAUAAAAUCAUUUAAACUAAAAAAUAAAUAAAAGAAAAUAUAAUGCAACAAAUUCCGCGCGAAGCGCGGGCUUGCCCUAGUCUAAUAAUAUAAAAAUCAAAAUGAUGUAAAAUUAGGGGUUGUAGUUGAAAUUUUUUUAUAGUGUUAAAACUACACUAAAAUGGUAUUAUGGGGUUGGAAAUACCUCAAAUUCAUGAAAUUUGAAAGCCAAGUUACAAAAAAAAAAAAAUUCAUGAAAUUGCAUAUGUUUGAUUCAGUAAUCACGGUGAAUAAUGUGUCGCGGGAGUCGGGUUAAUAGUCGAACGAUUGACUUGUCCGAAUAACCAGCCAGUAUGUCAAAAUGGAGAAAAGAAUAUAGUUAUAGAAAAAGAUGGAAUAUAAGAAUCUAGACAUCUAGUCACCUAGGAUUCUCCAGCUUGUGUACGUUAUCGUUGGAUAUAUCACAUCAAUAUGUUUUAAUCAUGAAUGUUUUUCAAACAAAUAUAACAAAUUGACUUGUUUAAACAAAAAUCACUCGUCCUACCAAAGUACCUUCGUCCAUCAUGUUUCAACUUGAUUAGUAAAUAUAUACGUACCUUUAUAGCUUUCUUACCAUAUAUAUCAAAAGAAAAACUUUGAGAGAAUGUUGUAAAAUUCGAAUACACAUUUUCUUGUCCUAAACUAAUUUAAUAAUUAAUUUAAACAAACAAUUUAAAUAAAAUCGUAUAAAUAUAUUAAAAUAACACUCAACUUGAUAUUUAAUAUUUUAAAUUGUAAUUUUAAUGUAUUGGAACAUAUUUUCUUUGUUUUCUUGAAACAAAUGUUUAGUUUCACUAAUAAUCAUAGUUUUAAUCUAUUAGUAAUUUGUUAUGUCUGUCUAGGGUCAAGUAUCAAACAAUAACUACUUAUAAAAAAUUAUAUAUCCAUGGAACAUAUGCAUAGGAUAUAAGACAUGUAGAAGUUAUAUCCCAUGUAAUUAUUAAAAAAGAUUAUAUCCCAUGUAAAAAAAUUCAUGAUAUUAUAAAAAUGAAUUGUAUCUAUAACUAAAUUACAAUCUAAUAUUUUCUAAUUAAAUUUUUUUAUUAUUCGUCCUUACAACAAACAACAACAGUGUAGGAAAUCUUUCAAAAAAACGAACAGCAACAAUGGUAAAAAAAAAAACAA